rnacentral:rRNA from 1 species
AUUGAACGCUGGCGGCAGGCCUAACACAUGCAAGUCGAGCGGCAGCGGGAAAGUAGCUUGCUACUUUUGCCGGCGAGCGGCGGACGGGUGAGUAAUGCCUGGGGAUCUGCCCAGUCGAGGGGGAUAACUACUGGAAACGGUAGCUAAUACCGCAUACGCUCUACGGGGGAAAGCAGGGGACCUUCGGGCCUUGCGCGAUUGGAUGAACCCAGGUGGGAUUAGCUAGUUGGUGAGGUAAUGGCUCACCAAGGCGACGAUCCGUAGCUGGUCUGAGAGGAUGAUCAGCCACACUGGAACUGAGACACGGUCCAGACUCCUACGGGAGGCAGCAGUGGGGAAUAUUGCACAAUGGGGGAAACCCUGAUGCAGCCAUGCCGCGUGUGUGAAGAAGGCCUUCGGGUUGUAAAGCACUUUCAGCGAGGAGGAAAGGUUGGUAGCUAAUAACUGCCAGCUGUGACGUUACUCGCAGAAGAAGCACCGGCUAACUCCGUGCCAGCAGCCGCAGUAAAAC